AUCCAGCUGACGAGUCCCGGAUAGGAUUAAAUGCGUGUCCUGGAU
rfam:Schistosoma haematobium scaffold414_3, whole genome shotgun sequence.